GUCCAACAGAGGGAAGACAUAAGAAUAUGGUCACCCAGGUAACAGACAUUUGUCUUAAUGUAUUCACUGUGUCAUCAGAAGCCACUUCUUAUCCAUCCUUGUGAAUACUUGAUGAAUGAGGAGUCAAUGAUUAAAUGAAGGAAAGAAAAGAGACUGAAAAGGAGGUAUGAGAAUGGGAAAGACGAGUGGAAAGACGAGAUAGAUAUUGCCCUAAAGACACAGUAAGCCAUCAAAUAUCUGUUUUCUAGUCCCCUUCUGGGCCCUCUUGGAUUUUGAAAAAGGGAGGAAGAAAUUGGAAAAAUUACCAAUAACUUCUAUUGACUUUGUAGAUUCCUAGUUUCCCCACAUGUGGCUAUGCUUGAAUCAACUUGUAAAAGUCUCUUUAUAGUCUGUUGAUGUUCAUGCAGGCACUAAAAGGCCACGGUCGGCCUACUUAGAUGAUCCACUCCACCCUGGGCUCCGGAAGAUGUUCCAGGGCAUUU
rnacentral:lncRNA from 1 species